UACGGAGGGUGCAAGCGUUAAUCGGAAUUACUGGGCGUAAAGCGUACGUAGGCGGUUCGUUAAGUCAGAUGUGAAAGCCCCGGGCUCAACCUGGGAACUGCAUUUGAAACUGGCGAACUCGAGUUGAGUAGAGGGGAGUGGAAUUUCAGGUGUAGCGGUGAAAUGCGUAGAUAUCUGAAGGAACACCAGUGGCGAAGGCGACUCCCUGGACUCAAACUGACGCUGAGGUACGAAGGCGUGGGUAGCAAACAGG
rnacentral:rRNA from 1 species